rnacentral:rRNA from 1 species
UUGUACAGGUGCGUGCAUGGCUGUCGUCAGCUCGUGUCGUGAGAUGUCGGUUAAGUCCGCUAACGAGCGCAACCCUCGCUGUGUGUUACAAGUGUCACACGGAACUGCCGGUCAUAAACCGGAGGAAGGUGGGGAUGACGUCAAGUCAGCAUGGCCUUUAUAUCCUGGGCUACACACACGCUACAAUGGGAAGGGACAAUAGGUUGCGAAGCCGCGAGGCGGAGCCAAUCCAGCAAAACUUCCCUCAGUUCAGAUUGCAGGCUGCAACUCGCCUGCAUGAGGUUGGAGUUGCUAGUAAACGCAGGUCAGCCAUACUGCGUUGAAUACGUUCCCGGGGCUU